UAGAGAGGCAUCUGACCAGCAACAGGUUGCUACAGGUUGUGAUACCCUUGAUAGGAUACAUCUAAGCAAGUUUCUCGACUUUCAUCAUCUGUGAGAGAGAGAGAGAGAGAGAGAGAGAGAGAUUGCCCCAAAGGGAGUGGCACUAUUGGGAGGUGUGGCCUUGUUGGAGGAAGCAUGUGACUGUGGAAGCGGGCUUUGAGGUCUCAUAUAUGCUCAAGCCACGCCCAGUGUCGGAGACCAUUUCCUGUUGCCUGCACAAGAUGUAGAACUCUCAGCUACCUCUCCAGCACCACAUCUGCUUGCAUGCCACCAUGUCGUACCAUGAUGACAAUGGACUGAACUAAUGAACUGACAAGCAUGGCUGCUGUAAUAUUCUGAGCAACAGAAAGGAAAGACAUAAAACCGUUGUGUGGACGAGAUCUUCGACUCUCUGAAGAAGCAGAGACUGAAAUGGGGGCACCAUGGCAGUUACCACAAAAGAGGACAAGAUUACCCAUUUAGGUGCUGUGGUGACUAGUUUCAUGUCAACUUGACAUAAAGCUAAGUCAUCUGAGAGGAGGGAACAAACGCCUUCAUUAGAAUGGGCUGUAGUCAAGGCUGUAGGGCAUUUUCUUAAUUGGCGAUUGAUGUGUAUGGAAAUGUAAGCAAAAUUUACCCUUUCUUCCCCAAGUUUCCUUUGGCAUGGUGUUUCUUUACAGCAAUAGCUCCUUGAGGAUGACAGGGUCUCAAGAUAACAGCAGUGUACCACUAGGUGGCAAUAGAGCCUAAGAGCUGUAGUUCACAGUCACCUGCCUUUACAGAUUGACGCAAGUACAAAAUAAAUCAGGGGUUUAUACUCCGAUGUCACCUUCCCUCUCCCGGGCCUCCUGUAUUCCAGCCUCAGACUUGCUGUGCAGCUGAGGAUGACCUUGACCUUCUGGUCUUCCUGCUUCAAUCUCCCCAGCGGGACUGCAGAUGUGUGCCACUAUUUUGGUUUUGCUGUGCUGACAGAAGAAUGGGAAAUCUGUGCCAUCAGGGAUGUUACAGCUCUGGCCAGAUGGCACCAAUUUUAUAAUCUCCAUGGUCAUAAAUAAAGUUGUCAACUCUGGUGCCCAGAAAAAGAAACUCAAGACAUUUGAUACUUGCCAAACACAGUUUCUGUCCAAAUGUGCUGCAUUAACCCUACCUACUCUUCUCCAGCCAUUUAAUCCACAGUUUCUUUUGAGGUCUGGGAAUCUAAAUGGGUAUGCAUGCGGGGCAGAGUCAAGGUUGAUGUGGGAAAGCAGAACCCAAGAGAAAUUCUUAUUCAUCAGCCGGCAAGAGAGUAUGGUAAUGGGGCAGUGUUACAAGGUGAUCAUUGGCAUUUUCUUUUUCCUUUUGAAAGAACAUGAUGUUUUCCUUCUGUUUCUGUUUUAAUACUUCAGUAAAUGGUAAAUACUGUG